CAGGUUCGCUACAGACGCGAUUAAAAGGGAAUCGGGUGAAAAUCCUGAACAGUCCCGCUGCUGUGAGCUGUCCUUAUAUGGGGCGAACGUUAGCCACUGAGCGCUUAUUACUCGGGAAGGUGUUUGCCAACCAGACAGCGAGUCAGAAGACCUGCCGUUGUG
rnacentral:ncRNA from 1 species